CUAUACUGUGUCCGUUCAUGAGCUCUAAGUCGUAAUGUGGAAACAUGGGGGCUACAAAGAAGAUGUGUUGUAUUUUAUUGCUCAGAGCUGAAAUGUUGAGA